rnacentral:misc_RNA from 1 species
GGGAAGAAGGGAAGAGGGGAACGCAUAUUGCACUCUCUGGUAUUCCGGAGAGUAUGCCUGUUUGAGGGUAAUUAAAAAGACUCUUUCACCAUUUUUUUUUGGUCCAAGGAAAUGAGUUCUCCGCGUUUAUAGCGGUAUCUUGACUUAAAUGGUCAAGUCUCAUUUUAGUCGAGCUGCGUACUUAUAUUAUUUCGCGACUUCUUCAUUAUGUGACUAUCAAGUCUUUAUGCCUUCAACUUUGCUUUGUAUGCGAUCAAUACAACUAUUUUGAGCCUUACCUCAUUUCUCG